rnacentral:rRNA from 1 species
UUGGAGGGCAAGUCUGGUGCCAGCAGCCGCGGUAAUUCCAGCUCCAAUAGCGUAUAUUAAAGUUGUUGCAGUUAAAAAGCUCGUAGUUGAACCUCGGGAUCAAUGGAUCGGUCAUGCCAUCGGUAUGUACUGGUCUCAUUGGUUCUCACCUUCUAAGGAACCAUGAUGUCAUUCAGUUGAUGUUGUGGGGAAUUAGGACUGUUACCUUGAAAAAAUUAGAGUGUUUAAAGCAGGCUAACGCUUGAAUACAUUAGCAUGGAAUAAUGAAAUAGGACAUCGCAUUCUAUUUUGUUGGUUUCUAGGAUCGAUGUAAUGAUUAAUAGGGAUAGUUGGGGGCAUUAGUAUUCAAUUGUCAGAGGUGAAAUUCUUGGAUUUAUUGAAGACUAACUACUGCGAAAGCAUUUGCCAAGGAUGUUUUCAUUAAUCAAGAACGAAAGUUAGGGGAUCGAAGACGAUCAGAUACCGUCGUAGUCUUAACCAUAAACUAUGCCGACUAGGGAUCGGAUGAUGUUGAUUUUUUAAUGACUCAUUCGGCACCUUACGGGAAAC